AAACGCAAAAGGGGAAGAAGAAAGAGAAAGAAAAUAAAGAGGAGGAGAAGGGGAAGAAGAACGAGGCGAAUAAAGAGGUAAAGAAGAACGAGGAGAAUAAAGAGUUAAAGAAGAAAAAACGGAAGGGCAAAAAGAAAGCAGGGGAGGGGAACAAAGCAGGGGAGCAGUCCACAACAGAGGUGCAGGUGAAAGCCCCCAUCGCGGCCCCGGAGCCAGAGCUCAGAGCAGAGGUGGAGGGGGAGGCUGAACAGGAGAGUCAGGAGGAGCCGGUAGAGGCCCAGGACCAUCACUCCAUCAGCAGUGCAGAGACACAGCCAGCACAGGCGGAGCAGAAGGUGAACGCCGAGGUAGAGAAGGAGGGGGAAGAGAAGGAGGCGGGAGUAGAGGAGAAAGAGAAGAAAGAAGAAACAGAGGAAGAGCCAGCCGAGCAGAUGGAGGAGGGAGAGGCGAACGGAGGGGAAGGGGAGAACACUAAUGGAGAAGACAAGAUGGCUUUAGCAGAGGAGGCCAAACCCUCCAAGCGUCCGCGGAUCAUGCAGUGUAAAGUCACCCUCCUGGACGACACUCUGUUUGAGUGUGAGCUCGGUAAACAUGCGACGGGCUCGGAUCUGUUUGUGAAGGUGUGUAACCACCUCAACCUGCUGGAGAGAGACUACUGUGGCCUGGCCGUCUGGGAUACCCCCACCUCCAGGACAUGGCUGGACGCCUCCAAAGAGAUCCGGAAACAGGUGGCAGAUUAUACAUACGAGUUCACUUUCAACGUGAAGUUCUACCCUCCUGAUCCAGCUCAGCUCACAGAAGACCUCACCAGGUACUACCUGUGUCUACAGCUGCGUAAAGACAUACUGAGUGGCCUGCUGCCAUGCUCCUUUGUAACUCUGGCCAUGCUAGGCUCCUACACGGCCCAGUCUGAGCUGGGGGAGUAUGAUCCAGAGGUCCACGGCUCUCACUACACCAAGGAGCUGAGGCUGGCCCCGGGACAGGGCAAAGAGCUGGAGGACAAGGUCAUGGAGUUGCACCGCACAUACAGAUCCAUGAGUCCAGCCCAGGCAGACAUGUUGUUUCUGGAGAAUGCCAAGAAGCUGUCUAUGUAUGGAGUGGAUCUGCACCAAGCCAAGGAUCUUGAGGGUGUGGACAUCACUCUAGGGGUGUGUUCUGGUGGUCUCAUGGUAUAUAAGGACAAGCUGAGGAUCAAUCGUUUCCCCUGGCCCAAAGUCCUCAAGAUCUCCUACAAGCGAAGCAGCUUCUUCAUCAAGAUCCGUCCCUCUGAACAAGAACAGUAUGAGAGCACAAUCGGCUUCAAGCUGCCCAACUACAAGGCCUCCAAGAAGCUGUGGAAGGCCUCAGUGGAACACCAUACCUUCUUCAGGGUGUCGUCCGUGGAGCCCCCGUCGUCCCGAUCCCGGUUCCUGGCGCUGGGGUCAAAGUUCAGGUACAGUGGUCGUACCCAGGCCCAGACCCGCCAGGCCAGUUCCAUGAUCGCCCGGCCCGCCCCGCGCUUCACCCGGUCCGCCAGCAAGAGGCUGUCCCGCACCAUCGACGAAGCUGGAGAUGAUGAUCUCCAAGUCUCGCAGCUCUCUGCUAGUCCAAACAAGACCGAGGAUGACGAUUGGUUCUUCAUGCUGGGAUCUGACCAACCCCAGACUUUCUUUUCACCAGCCAGAGGGGGGGAGACUUUCUCUGUGGAGACUUCUACUCUGAGCUGGGAUGAUGGCAAGUCUGUCCAGACAGUCAGACAGGCAUGGCAGGAGACCGAGACAAGCCAGACGGUCAGUCGGACUGUCAGUCAGACAUGGCAGGGACGAGUGUCUGAUGAACAACAGCAGGGGAGACUGGAGGAGGAGAAAGAGGAGGAUUGGUCUGUCCUGCUGGGCAGACGACCCUCCCUUCCCUAUGUCCCCUACCCCAUGAUGAAACCGCCAGUCAAAUACCGCUCUGCCCAGGUGGCAAAGGUGGCCACGGCCAACAUUCUGGAGAGGCUGCUACAGCCAAGGCAGGAACAAAGUGAUGACUGGGUCAUGCAGUUGGACCGCAGCUUUGAGUUUGCAGACACACCUCCAUUCUCUCCCCCAGUCUCCCUGGAGAAGGAGGAGACUAGGCAGGAGAGGAGGGAGGUGAUCAAGAGGCUCCAGGAAGGGGUGUUCCUGGUGGAGAAGCUGAGGGAGGUAGAGGUGCUGGAUGAGAGACUGAGGGAGGUGAAGGUUUUGGAAGAACGGCUGCAGGAGGUGGAUGAGCUGGAGGAGAGGAUACAGGAGGAGGUGGAGGCCAGGCAACAGCAGGAGGAGGUGGGAGGGGUAGAAGUAGAGGAGGAGGUGGUAGAGGCAGCAGAAGAGAAUGUGGAGGAAGUAGAUGAGUUGGAGGAGCAGAUAAAGGAGGUGUUUCUCAAAGGAUUGCUGCCAGAUGAGUCAGGGGAAGAUGAGGGACUAAAAGAGGAGAGUAUGGAAGAGGCAGAGGAAUCUGAAGAACGGUGGUCAAACGUGGCGAGCACCUCCUCUGUGGUGCGGAGAGUAGAUUUGAGGACCCAGAAUAGUGUGACUAUAGUGAAAGAGAUGAGGCAACAAGAAGGAGGGAUGGAGGAAGAGAUGGUGGAACAGGUGGUGGUUUCAGACGAGGGAUUGAAAGAGGAUGAAGGAUGGUUGGAGGAGAGGAAGCAUCAGGCUUUGGUGGAAGGGUUGCCAGAGGGGCUUGAGGAAAGGAGAGGAGAGAUAAGAGUGGAAAGGAGGAGGAAGAAGGUGACUAUAGUGACACAGGAUGAGAGUCUUCCAGAUGAACUAGAGAAGAAAGCAUCUGAGAAGUUGUCAGAGGACCAGAUAGGAGGCCAUUUUUAUAAAGAGGGACAACUUAUGGUGAAAUUCAAUGAACUAUUUGCGGCAGAGAAGUUAGGGUUACCGAAAGUUACAAUUCAGCAGGAGUGGCUCCAAGAACAGGAAAAGGUCAGGGAGGAGAAACAGGAGAGAGUGGAACAGGUGAAGGUUUCAGGCGAGGGAUUGAUAGAGGUGAAAGGAGGUCUAGAGGAUAGGAUGCGGCAGAUGUCGGAGGAAAGGUUGCUAAAGGGAGAGCAGACUGUGGUGAAAACCAAGAAAACAGUGAGAAUAAUGGAAGAAAUGAGGAGAACACAGAAGACACUCGAGGAAAAGUCAUCAGAGGACAUUUUAUCAGAGGAAAGGCUGGGUGAUGGUUUUUAUACAGAGGGGGAAGUUUUGGUGAAAUUCAGAAAGGAUGUGGAGAGGGUUCCACAUAGAGUCAGACAAAUGGAGAAGCCCCAAGAAGAAGAAGAAGAAGAAGAAGCGGUAGUGGAAGUGAAUAUGCAGCCAUCCCAGCCAGAAGACAAGGACGAUUGGGUUGUGCUGCUGGACAGCCUCCCACACAAGACUCUUUAUAAGCCUCCAGUCAUGCCAGCCGACUCCGCUCUGGUGCCUGUGGUCUCCACAAGAUUCUCUGUGGUGUUAGUAGACACGGUCGAGCAGAGAGCACCAGAGAGGGAAUGCAUUGAAGUGGAGGCCACACAGCAACAGCCUGAAAGGGGAUUGGUGGAAGGACGGAGACCGUGGCAAAUGCAGGAAGAUGAUUGGUUUAUGCUCUUGGACCUGGCUGAUCGUGUUCCUUCAGGUGUACCAACCUCACCAGUUUCAGCUUCUUUGCAAGAGCAAGUUCAGGUGUACGUAGAUGAAACCAUCUCUUCCAUGGUUAAAGUGAUGACAGUGGUACAGAGAGAGGAGACCAGGGUGACUGUAGUGGAGGAGAUGGAGUUACAGGAAGACCAGAGCCGUCUCGAACAGAAACCGUCACAGAGAGAGAUGGAAGAUGACUGGUUUGUUCUGCUGGACAUUGUUCCCAGAGAACCAUCUGUGAUUCCGUCAGUAUCUGAGGAAUGUGUGUUUGUAUCAGCUUCUGUGGAAGAGCGUAUUCCGGUAUACCCUGAGGAAAGCGUCUCCUCUGUGGUUGAGUUGACGACAGUAGAGCAGAGAGAGGAGAGAAGGGUGACUGUAAUGCAAGAGGAGCGACGUCAAGAAGAAGUUAUACUUCCACCACAGCCAUCAAGAGAGAUGGACGAUGACUGGUUUGUACAACUGGAUGUCGUGCCCAGAGAAACAUCCUAUAUACCACCAGUCGCUCCAGCAGAGCCAACACCGGUUUCUCCAGAUGUGAUCAGCCCUGUGGUUGAGGUAAAGGCUGAAGAGCAGAAGCCAGUGGUGGUUCUGGUGGAGGAGACGAGGCCACAACAGGAAUGGGAAGUAGAGGAGUGGCAGCGACAACCAGAGAGAGAUGAUGAUUGGUUUACACUGUUUGCUGAUGUCCGUGAGGAGCCGAUCAUUGUACCACCAGUUGCUCUUGGUGAGCAUACUCCGGUAUAUCCAGAUUUAAGCCAGACCACCUCUGUAGUUGAUGUGAUGACCAUAGAAAGAAUAAUUAAGAAGAGGGUGACUAUUGAUGAAGAGAGGUGGGGACAGCAAGAGGAGAUCCUCCAGUCAGAGAUGAUCAUCCCAGAACAGAGACCACCAGCAGAGAGAGAGGAGGGAAAUGGAUGGUUUGUUCUGUUGGAUGCCGUCCGUGAAGAACGUGCUGGGGUUCCACCAGUUUCCCUGGCUGUUAGCGAUAGGGUAUACCCAGAGGUUGUGCCAGCCAAACAUCUGACCAUUGAGCCUGAACCAAGAGUGUUUGUGGUGGAAGCAGUCCAAUCACUUCCUGAAGACAUUGCCCUGGAGGGUAAGGCAACACAACCGCAGAGAGAGCAGGAUGAUGAUUGGUUUUUGCAGCUGGAUGUUGCCCCUAAAGUAGCAGCUGCACCAGUGGUGGUGAUUUACUCUGGUGUGAGCACCACAGCUGUUAUGGUGGUGAAGGAGACAGUGGAACAGAAACCACCAAAGACCGUGAGGAUCAUGGAAGAGACUGUUAAGAUGGAGGAGGGGCCUGUGGUAACACCUAAAGAAGUGGAUGAUGAUUGGUUUGUGCUCUGGGACCGCGCUCCCUCCAAGAUACUGACCACACCCAAGGCGUUCCAUGUAGACAGAGAGGUUAUAGAGCUGGUACCCCGGAGAACAGUGAUUGUUGUGGAGGAAACUAGGAAACCACAUAGAGUGGUGGAGGACAGACGUCAACCGGAGUUUGAACUGGUGAAAACACUGCCUCCCCAAGAGAGAGGGGAGGGUGAUGAUUGGUUCACGCUCUUUGAAGCCUCUCGCCAAGAGCCUGUGAAAAUGCCAACAGUUGCUGGGGUAACUAGACCUGCCCCUGUGGUUGAUGUGAUGGAGACGAGCACAGAGCAGAGAACCCAGAAAAGGGUGACGAUAGUGGAGGAGAGGUGGAGAGAGGAGAGGACCCUGCAGCAGAGACUGCCUCAGAGACAGAGAGAGGUGGACGAUGACUGGUUUGUCCUGCUGGAUGCUGCCCCUAAAGAAUUAGUUGCUCUGCGUGAGCGUCUCCAGGUCUAUACUGACAUAACUGUGGUCAAAGGUCCAGCCGCUCAGCCCAAACCCAGAGUGGUGGUUGAAGAGGAGAAGAGACCAGCACAACCCCAGAGAGAUGUGGAUGACCAUUGGUUUGUGUUGCGGGAUACAAAAUCAGUUUCAGUGGUGGCCACCCACAAGGCCGCCCGUCCUGUCAGCGCCCCAGUCUUCUCCCAGGCAGCCCUGAUGGAGGCAGGGAUCCCCAUGGCCCCCCUGGACCUCCAGCAGCCCCAGACCUCCACCCCCAUCAGGCUGCCAGCCCGCCAGGAUGACAGGAAGCUGCAGGUCACCGUGGAGGCAGUGGACGAGGGCUCAGCUGAGGUCAAGUCUGAGCAGACGGACACUGAGGAGCCGGUUCAAAUGAGGAAGAAAAGAGCUAAGAGAACUGAGGGUGACUCAAUUUAUAUCAGACAUAGUCUUUUAAUGUUGGAGGACUUUGAGAAGCCCCAGGAGGAUCUCAUCAGGCAUCAUACUAGUAUCAGUGAGCUGAAGAGGAACUUCAUGGCAUCUGUCCCAGAGUCCCGGGGGCCCAGCGAAUGGGACAAGCGCCUGUCCACUCACUCCCCCUUCCGCAGCCUGGGCAUCAACGGACAGCCUUUACCUGAUGCCGACGGGAGUGUGUGUAUUACUCCUAUAAGGGAAGAGCUGGACACUAAGGCAGCGCUACAACAGGACGAGUCCAUCAGCACUGUAAGACCAUCGGGGGGGCCCAGCCCCAGCCCUGCUAGCACAGAAACUGGGCCUGAUAGGGUUGACUCCAAAUCCCAUGAUGCACCUGGGGUGGCAGGGCCAUGUGAUCAGGAUGAUGAGCAUGUUAGCUCUGGGACCACCACCAGCCACGUACCUGUCGUUGAGGUGGAGAGGGCACAGCUGCCCCACUCCUAUCAGCUCCAGGGUACAGUGCUGGAGGAGGAGGAGCCGGCAGACCCAGGGUCAAGGGGGGAGCAGUCUGGGAGGAUAACUGGAGCCUCCCACACCUCCUAUUUCGUGAGGGGUGUUCCCCAUGUCAUACGCUGUUUCCAGCCCCCUCUGGUGCAGACCCAGACAGUCACCAUCACAGACGUGUCCAACUCCCUCCCUACUGACGUCUCCACUAAGGAUGUCCCUGUCGUUCAGACCCAGACUAUCAGCUACAAGUCUGCAGAGGUGUCAGUUGAUGGGACAGACGGGGGGAAAGAGGCCACAGCACUGAGCAGCAUUCAGUCCAUUACCUCAGAGAGCAGCAGGGAAACCAGUGGCACCUCCAUUACUACCACCACCACUCACAUCUCCAAGGUAAGGGCAUACCAUAGACUGAGCAGCUUUCAGUCCAUUACCUCAGAGAGCAGCAGGGAAACCAGUGGCACCUCCAUUACUACCACCACCACUCACAUCUCCAAGGUAAGGGCACACCAUAGACCGCACACACAUCUCAGCUGUGUCAUGGCCUCUGACUAUUUCUCUUGUCCCAGGUGGUGAAAGGAGGAGCGUCAGCGACCAGAGUGGAGAAGAGGAUCGUCAUCACUGCCGACUCAGAGGAUGACCAGGGAAGUGGCGGCGGAGCAACAGCAAUGUGAUUCAGCUCAACACACAGUCAGGGAGCCCUAUGGAUCUGAUGCUCAAGACACCAGAGCUUUGUAGUACAGACUAACCUCCCUGUCCCAGAGCCACCCCCACCUCCUCAACCCAUACGGACAUUGUGUCCUGACUGGUCCCCUCCAGGACCACUGUGGUUGCAUCUCUUGACCAGAGCCCUGGUUAAAAGUAGUGCAUUAUAAAGGGAAUAUGGUGCCAUUUGGGAAGCAUCCUGGAGUCUCCCUGCCCAGUGGGAUAUGAACAGGCCAGGGAGAAAGCCUAUUGUGUCCUCUCUUUCCAUACUGCUGUUCUGACUGUAUGGUGGCUUCAUUUUGGUCUAUUCCACUCAAACCUCAUAUUUCGCCAAAUUACUCUUUUUUUUAUUAUUAUAGUAGGAAAGAUGAACCUUUUCAGUUCUAAGAGCAUUUAGGUCAUUUAGCGUUUAGAUGUUUAUUUACAACAUAUUUUUCUGUUGUUUGUAUUGCUACUACUGUGUCAUUGAGUUUAAGUGUGGACUCAGCGAUAUGACGGAGAUGCAGAAAGUAAACAGCGUAGUGGGCCAAUUUCAGUCAAACAACUAAGAACGUUGAAGCGAGAGGCUCGACUUCUCCACUGUUUUGGUGCCAUGGUUCCAACGCUGUGAACAGAGUGAAGUGAACCCGUGCACAUGCGCAGAUACUGUGUGAGAGCAAAGUCUUGCAUCUCGCUCAUCUCUGUAUCUGUGGUGCUGGUCGAGGCAACGGCAUUUUACUGAGUCUCCCUUUAACAUGCUCAUUUUGACAGAAAUGCACUGUUUUUAACUGGGCUUUAAGUAAUAACAUUAUCAGACCUUUUCAAUCAGAUGAAGAUGCUGGACAGAAACUAGAUGUAUUUUUGGAAAGUGAUAACUCCUUUGAGUUUCUUUAUGUUUAUAAUUGAGGAAUAUUAUUUUUUAUUGAAUAUUCAAAUUGAAAUGACAUACCUCACUUAAAAGUAUUGAACAAAGAUAUUGCAUACUCCAACAACCAUGCCUGUUUUGGAUUUGUUCUCUGCUCAGGUAAAAUAUCUCUUUCUUAACCAGCCAUGUUAACAUGUGUAAUUACUACUAGGUCAGGCCACGAUGACCCUCGGUAUAAACUUUGACGUGAUGACAACUAUCUGAUUUGAAAUGUUUACUCUAUUUUAUAGCAUGACUGCUUUUAUAGUAUUUGUACAAAAUGAGGUGUUUAAGUUAUUGAAGUUCAUAUCCUACUCAAUGGUAGCUUCUCAUAUCAAUAUUGUCUUUUUUUUUUACAGCUUGAAUUUGGGAGUGCCCCCAUGUUUCCCAGUACAUAUUCAGCAUGGUUUCUUCUUCCUUUUAUAACGCACCAUUGACCUCUAGGACUGCCCCAUGCAGUCUGAUGUGAGAGCAAUGGAAAGUCCCGCCGUGUUUUGUCCCUGGAAAUGAUUUUAGAUUGAAACGUGAUUGAUUUUCAAACCUGUUGUUGUUGAUUUGAUGAAACAAUGUUUUAGUCUGUUUCUCAGGUUGUAUGUCUUAUCAAUACUGCAGGACAAAACCCCUCUGUAUAUGAUUGUAUGAAGAAUGUUCAGUCUUGAUGUACAUUCUAGCCCUGCAGAUGGGUCCAAAUGAUUCUCAGCUCUUAAACACAGUAGUACCUGUGCAAGAUGUAUUUAUCACUAUCAAAAGGCAGCUGUCCCAGUGUAUGUGGCUUUUCUUUCAUACAGGGGAACAUAUUUAGUCCUUUUGUACAUGUUCUACCAUCAUUUCUUUGUAAAGUAGAGACUGUUUCAUGUGAUUCUUUGUACUGGGAUGUUUUUUAAAACACGAGCCUGUUCGCAGGCUUUUAGACACAGUCACAUUUAUAAUAAUCAUCUAGUUUGUAAAUCUUUCUUACCACCUGUUUUAGAGUAGAUUCAUCUACCAGUUGCUGUUCCCUGUCCUUUUGUAGAUCAGAUAAAGAUACUUGUAUGAGAACCCUUUUAGAGAAUGACAAUUGGUAGCAGACCUUUCUUCCCCUCUGAAGAAGUUUGUGAAGGUGGCACAAACUAUUAGCUAGAAGGAUCUUGAGGGCAUAAACUAGAAUCUCAGCGGAACCCUUCGUUUUUAGAUAUGUAAACGUAUUGCUUUUGUGACAUAUCCCUGUCUUUAAAAUGAAAUCAAAUCAGGAUGAAUUAUCAAGUGGUGUGUAGUGUCUGUCUGAGCAGGAUUUCAGUCACAAUAAGAACAUUUUUAAAUUAAAGGUGACCAAUAGAAUUAAGAAAUACAAUUUUAUUAAAAAUUCUUAAUUCCAGAUGCUUGCAUACAGACUUCAGAAAAUCAAUAAUAGCAUUACCACUGGAAUUGUAGACUGAAAGAAAAACAUUAUUAAUGUAAAAUGUAGUACCAUAAUGUAAACUGGUUGUAGCUAUAGGUUAUCAACAUGAAAGACAUCCACCUGUGUUCAAUACCACUUAAUAUUGUAACAGACCAAUGCAAGAGAAACCAUGCGGCUCAGUGUCCAGUCAAGAGACAACUCUGCUGUCAUGGACAUGUUCACAACUAAUGAUGGCUUAAGUGGCCCGAACAUUUUCACUUUGGGACAGUGAGUGUUCCAGCACUGGUAUUUUAUGUCAGCACAAAGCAAACCCAUGUUGCCAUUCACCCUGAGAACAUAUCGUAUACAUCUAAUAAACUCUGUCUUAAAUUUAA